rnacentral:rRNA from 1 species
GCUAACUCCGUGCCAGCAGCCGCGGUAAUACGGAGGAUGCAAGCGUUAUCCGGAUUUAUUGGGUUUAAAGGGUGCGCAGGCGGGCUUGUAAGUCAGCGGUGAAAUACUGUCGCUUAACGAUAGGAUUGCCAUUGAUACUGCUUGUCUUGAGUUUGGUUGAGGUAUGCGGAAUGUGCAGUGUAGCGGUGAAAUGCAUAGAUAUUGCACAGAACACCAAUUGCGAAGGCAGCAUACUAAGCCAAAACUGACGCUGAGGCACGAAAGCGUGGGGAGCGAACAGGAUUAGAUACCCCUGUAGUC